AUUGAACGCUGGCGGCAGGCCUAACACAUGCAAGUCGAACGGUAACAGGAAGCAGCUUGCUGCUUCGCUGACGAGUGGCGGACGGGUGAGUAAUGUCUGGGAAACUGCCUGAUGGAGGGGGAUAACUACUGGAAACGGUAGCUAAUACCGCAUAACGUCGCAAGACCAAAGAGGGGGACCUUCGGGCCUCUUGCCAUCAGAUGUGCCCAGAUGGGAUUAGCUUGUUGGUGGGGUAACGGCUCACCAAGGCGACGAUCCCUAGCUGGUCUGAGAGGAUGACCAGCCACACUGGAACUGAGACACGGUCCAGACUCCUACGGGAGGCAGCAGUGGGGAAUAUUGCACAAUGGGCGCAAGCCUGAUGCAGCCAUGCCGCGUGUAAUGAAGAAGGCCUUCGGGUUGUAAAGUACUUUCAGCGGGGAGGAAGGUGUUGUGGUUAAUAACCGCAGCAAUUGACGUUACCCGCAGAAGAAGCACCGGCUAACUCCGUGCCAGCAGCCGC
rnacentral:rRNA from 1 species